GGAGAGCUGGCCGAGUCCGGUUGAAGGCGGCGGCUUGCUAAGCCGUAGCGGGGGAGACCUCGCCGGGGGUUCGAAUCCCUCGCUCUCCGCCA
rnacentral:tRNA from 1 species